rnacentral:rRNA from 1 species
GAUGAACGCUGGCGGCGUGCCUAAUACAUGCAAGUCGAGCGAAAAGACGAUAAGCUUGCUCCUCUGACGUUAGCGGCGGACGGGUGAGUAACACGUGGAUAACCUACUUCUAAGUCUGGGAUAAUUUCGGGAAACCGGAUCUAAUACCGGAUAAUAUAUUGAACCGCAGAGAUCAAUAGUUAAAGACGGUUUUGCUGUCAGUAAUAGAUGAACUCGGGCCGGCUUAGCUAGUUGGUAAGGUAACACCUUAGCAAGGCAACGAUGCGUAGCCGACCGGAGGGGGUGAUCGGCCACACGGAACCGAGGACACGUCCCGACCUCCAAGGGGAGGCACCGGUGGGAAAUUUUCCGCAAUGGGGGAAAGCCUGACGAGGCAACGCGGCGUGAUGGAUAAGGGUCUCCGGUUGUUAAAACCCUGUUAUUAGGAAAAAACAAAGCUGUAAGAAACCAUGCACUUCUGAACGUUACCAAAGCAGAAGCCCCCGCCUAAUUACUU